GACGAACGCUGGCGGCGUGCUUAACACAUGCAAGUCGAACGGAAAGGCCCUGCUUUUGUGGGGUGCUCGAGUGGCGAACGGGUGAGUAACACGUGAGUAACCUGCCCUUGACUUUGGGAUAACUUCAGGAAACUGGGGCUAAUACCGGAUAGGAGCUCCUGCUGCAUGGUGGGGGUUGGAAAGUUUCGGCGGUUGGGGAUGGACUCGCGGCUUAUCAGCUUGUUGGCGGGGUAGUGGCUUACCAAGGCUUUGACGGGUAGCCGGCCUGAGAGGGUGACCGGCCACAUUGGGACUGAGAUACGGCCCAGACUCCUACGGGAGGCAGCAGUGGGGAAUAUGGCACAAUGGGCGGAAGCCUGAUGCAGCAACGCCGCGUGCGGGAUGACGGCCUUCGGGUUGUAAACCGCUUUCGCCUGUGACGAAGCGUGAGUGACGGUAAUGGGUAAAGAAGCACCGGCUAACUACGUG
rnacentral:rRNA from 1 species